rnacentral:rRNA from 1 species
UACAGAGGGAGCGAGCGUUGUUCGGAAUUACUGGGCGUAAAGGGCGCGUAGGCGGUCCGAUAAGUCCCGUGUGAAAUCCCUCGGCUCAACUGAGGAAUGGCACGGGAAACUGACGGGCCUGAGUUCGGGAGAGGGAAGCGGAAUUCCGGGUGUAGCGGUGAAAUGCGUAGAUAUCCGGAGGAACACCGGUGGCGAAGGCGGCUUCCUGGACCGACACUGACGCUGAGGCGCGAAAGCUAGGGGAGCAAACGGG